rnacentral:rRNA from 1 species
GAUGAACGCUGGCGGCGUGCCUAAUACAUGCAAGUAGAACGCUGAAGGAGGAGCUUGCUCUUCUGGAUGAGUUGCGAACGGGUGAGUAACGCGUAGGUAACCUGCCUGGUAGCGGGGGAUAACUAUUGGAAACGAUAGCUAAUACCGCAUGACAACAGUUAUUGCAUGAUAACUGUUUAAAAGGGGCAACUGCUCCACUACCAGAUGGACCUGCGUUGUAUUAGCUAGUUGGUGAGGUAACGGCUCACCAAGGCGACGAUACAUAGCCGACCUGAGAGGGUGAUCGGCCACACUGGGACUGAGACACGGCCCAGACUCCUACGGGAGGCAGCAGUAGGGAAUCUUCGGCAAUGGACGGAAGUCUGACCGGGCAACGCCGCGGGAGUGAAGAAGGUUGUCGGAUCGUAAAGCUCUGUUGUAAGAGAAGAACGAGUGUGAGAGUGGAAAGUUCACACUGUGACGGUAUCUUACCAGAAAGGGACGGCUAACUACGUG